UACAGAGGUCCCGAGCGUUGUUCGGAUCACUGGGCGUAAAGGGUGCGUAGGUGGCCUGAAAAGUUUGAUGUGAAAGCUCAGGGCUUAACCCUGAAAUGGCAUUGAGUACUGUCGGGCUGGAGGUUUGGAGGGGGGACUGGAAUUCUUGGUGUAGCAGUGAAAUGCGUAGAUAUCAAGAGGAACACCAGUGGCGAAGGCGAGUCCCCUGGACAACACCUGACACUGAGGCACGAAAGCUAGGGGAGCAAACAGG
rnacentral:rRNA from 1 species